GGGCACUCUGGGGAGACUGCCAGGGAUAACCUGGAGGAAGGUGGGGAUGACGUCAAAUCAUCAUGCCCCUUAUGACUUGGGCUACACACGUGCUACAAUGGCGUAAACAAAGGGAAGCGAAGGAGUGAUCCGGAGCAAAUCUCAAAAAUCACUUCUCAGUUCGGAUUGUAGUCUGCAACUCGCCUACAUGAAGCUGGAAUCGCUAGU
rnacentral:rRNA from 1 species